GUGCUCGAGUUGGCAGCACAUAUACUAAAAUUCAAACAAUACAGAGAAGAUUAGCAUGGCCCCUGUGCAAGAAUGACACACAAAUUCCUGAAGCAUUCCAUAUUUUC
ensembl:snRNA Gm22808 predicted gene, 22808